rnacentral:pre_miRNA from 14 species
AUUUACCUUCGCUGGCUUGAAAGAUCCCUGAAGAGAGACCCUUACUCAAGUCUCGGGAAGUCGAGGACCCCAGACACAGAGAGACCA